rnacentral:rRNA from 1 species
AUGGAUGGCGAGUGGAUAGUCACAUCAGAGCUUAGUUUUGGCUCCAAAAAAGCGAUGAAGGGGGCAUGCGGAAUUAGGGUUUCCAAUGAAGGAUUUGGUGCGGCUGAAUGUGGGUGCAAAUUGACGCCAGUUAAUAGGGUUUGCAAUGAAGGAUUUGAUGUAGGCCGACGAUUUCUGAGUUGUCCAUACGAGGGGUUAAACUCCUGUGGGUAUUUGAGGUGGAUGGAUGAUGCAUGGCAGGGCAGAUCAAGGGUGGUAAUUGGAAAGCUUGCAAAUGACAACCAGAAGCUACAAAAUGCUUUGCUUGACAAGGAACAAGACAUUCAGAGGAUGAAGAAAGAGAGGAAUAAAUUAGAUGAGUAG